AGCUCAGGUGGUAGAGCACUUGACUUUUAAUCAAGUUGUCCGGGGUUCGAAUCCCCGA
rnacentral:tRNA from 1 species